GACGAACGCUGGCGGCGUGCUUAACACAUGCAAGUCGAACGAUGAAACCGGAGCUUGCUCCGGUGGAUUAGUGGCGAACGGGUGAGUAACACGUGAGUAACCUGCCCUUGACUCUGGGAUAACUGCGGGAAACUGUAGCUAAUACCGGAUACGACCCUCGGAGGCAUCUCCUGGGGGGGGAAAGAAUUUCGGUCAAGGAUGGACUCGCGGCUUAUCAGCUAGUUGGUGAGGGAAAGGCUCACCAAGGCGACGACGGGUAGCCGGCCUGAGAGGGUGACCGGCCAAACUGGGACUGAGAAACGGCCCAGACUCCUACGGGAGGCAGCAGUGGGGAAUAUUGCACAAUGGGCGCAAGCCUGAUGCAGCAACGCCGCGUGAGGGAUGACGGCCUUCGGGUUGUAAACCUCUUUUAGCAGGGAAGAAGCGAAAGUGACGGUACCUGCAGAAAAAGCACCGGCUAACUACGUGCCAGCAGCCGCCGUAA
rnacentral:rRNA from 1 species